GCGACGGGUGAGUACACGUGGGCAAUCUGCCCUGCACUCUGGGACAAGCCCUGGAAACGGGGUCUAAUACCGGAUAUGACCCUCGCAGGCAUCUGUGAGGGUGUAAAGCUCCGGCGGUGCAGGAUGAGCCCGCGGCCUAUCAGCUUGUUGGUGAGGUAACGGCUCACCAAGGCGACGACGGGUAGCCGGCCUGAGAGGGCGACCGGCCACACUGGGACUGAGACACGGCCCAGACUCCUACGGGAGGCAGCAGUGGGGAAUAUUGCACAAUGGGCGAAAGCCUGAUGCAGCGACGCCGCGUGAGGGAUGACGGCCUUCGGGUUGUAAACCUCUUUCAGCAGGGAAGAAGCGAAAGUGACGGUACCUGCAGAAGAAGCGCCGGCUAACUACGUGCCACAGCGGGGGGGAAAUACG
rnacentral:rRNA from 1 species